UUCAAGGGUCAUACCACACUUAAUGUGCCUGAUCUUGUCUGAUCCCAGAAGCUAAGUAGGGUCAGGCCUGGUUAGUUCUUGGAUGGGAGGCUUCCUGAGAAUACCAGAUGCUGUAAGCU
rfam:Cricetulus griseus cell line CHO-K1, whole genome shotgun sequence.